rnacentral:rRNA from 1 species
UACGUAGGGGGCAAGCGUUAUCCGGAUUUACUGGGUGUAAAGGGGGCGCAGACGGCGAUGCAAGCCAGGAGUGAAAGCCCGGGGCCCAACCCCGGGACUGCUCUUGGAACUGCGUGGCUGGAGUGCAGGAGGGGCAGGCGGAAUUCCUGGUGUAGCGAUGAAAUGCGUAGAUAUCAGGAGGAACACCGGUGGCGAAGGCGGCCUGCUGGACUGCAACUGACGUUGAGGCCCGAAAGCGUGGGGAGCAAACAGG